rnacentral:miRNA from 10 species
GGUAUGUUUAGUGUUCAAGAGC